AGUGAACGCUGGCGGUAGGCCUAACACAUGCAAGUCGAACGGCAGCACAGUAAGAGCUUGCUCUUACGGGUGGCGAGUGGCGGACGGGUGAGGCAUACAUCGGAAUCUACUUUUUCGUGGGGGAUAACGUAGGGAAACUUACGCUAAUACCGCAUACGACCUACGGGUGAAAGCAGUGGAUCUUCGGACCUUGCGCGAUUGAAUGAGCCGAUGUCGGAUUAGCUAGUUGGCGGGGUAAAGGCUCACCAAGGCGACGAUCCGUAGCUGGUCUGAGAGGAUGAUCAGCCACACUGGAACUGAGACACGGUCCAGACUCCUACGGGAGGCAGCAGUGGGGAAUAUUGGACAAAGGGCGCAAGCCUGAUGCAGCAAUACCGCGUGAGUGAAGAAGGCCUUCGGAUUGUAAAGCCCUUUUGUUGGGAAAGAAAAGCAGCAGGUUAAUACCCCGCUGUUCUGACGGUACCCAAAGAAUAAGCACCGGCUAACUUCGUG
rnacentral:rRNA from 1 species